rnacentral:rRNA from 1 species
GGUUACCUAUACAUGCAAAGUCGAGCGGACAGAAGGGAGCUUGCUCCCGGAUGUUAGCGGCGGACGGGUGAGUAACACGUGGGUAACCUGCCUGUAAGACUGGGAUAACUCCGGGAAACCGGAGCUAAUACCGGAUAGUUCCUUGAACCGCAUGGUUCAAGGAUGAAAGACGGUUUCGGCUGUCACUUACAGAUGGACCCGCGGCGCAUUAGCUAGUUGGUGAGGUAACGGCUCACCAAGGCGACGAUGCGUAGCCGACCUGAGAGGGUGAUCGGCCACACUGGGACUGAGACACGGCCCAGACUCCUACGGGAGGCAGCAGUAGGGAAUCUUCCGCAAUGGACGAAAGUCUGACGGAGCAACGCCGCGUGAGUGAUGAAGGUUUUCGGAUCGUAAAGCUCUGUUGUUAGGGAAGAACAAGUGCAAGAGUAACUGCUUGCACCUUGACGGUACCUAACCAGAAAGCCACGGCUAACUACGUGCCAGCAGCCGCGGUAAUACGUAGGUGGCAAGCGUUGUCCGGAAUUAUUGGGCGUAAAGGGCUCGCAGGCGGUUUCUUAAGUCUGAUGUGAAAGCCCCCGGCUCAACCGGGGAGGGUCAUUGGAAACUGGGAAACUUGAGUGCAGAAGAGGAGAGUGGAAUUCCACGUGUAGCGGUGAAAUGCGUAGAGAUGUGGAGGAACACCAGUGGCGAAGGCGACUCUCUGGUCUGUAACUGACGCUGAGGAGCGAAAGCGUGGGGAGCGAACAGGAUUAGAUAUCUGAGGUAGUCC